rnacentral:rRNA from 1 species
AUGGAUGGAGCUGAAGCACCGUCUGCGAUGCCAUCUUGGAUGGAACUGUGGAAUGAGUGGGAAAUCCAAGUAGUUGUUAUCGUCAGCUUCAGUCUGCAGGUUAUUCUCUUCUUCUUUGCUGGGAUCCGCCGCUACAGUGUCUCAUUUGUUACCAAGGCCCUCCUCUGGCUGGUAUAUCUGCUUGCUGAUGUCGUUGCAACAUACGCCCUGGGGCACAUGUCCUCGUCAUUGUCGAAAAAAUCAUCCAGCGAGCACCAGCUGGUGGCGUUCUGGGCGCCGUUUCUUCUGCUGCACCUCGGCGGCCAGGACACCAUCACCGCGUACGCCCUGGAGGACAAUGAACUCUGGCUGCGUCACCUGCUAAACAUGUUUGUGCAGGUCGCCUGUACUGCAUAUGUGCUCUACAAGUACAUCAUUGCAGGCGGGGCAAACUUUGUCCACGCCGCUAUGUUGGUUCUUGCCUCCGGAAUUCUCAAGUAUGGCGAGAGGAUAUGGGCACUGAAGCUUGCAAGCAAGGGUGGUUCCCAUUACAAAAGAAGGCGACGAGUUAAGAAGCCUUUCUACCGCCGGUGGAUUCGUGCUAUUCGUCGUGAGUUUCCCACAAAGAAGGAUGCUGCCGUCCUCACAGGUGAGCCUAGUGACACCACCCGCAGUUCAUUUGCCGGUUUACCGAAAAGAAUCCAAAAAGUUAAUUCGCUGGUGGUGCAUAGGAGUCGGUGGGUAGAAGAUAUAGUAGAAAUAGAAGAAGGAGAAGAAAGAGACUGUUUCACGCAAAACAAACAAUUUGGAACUUAUGUAUUUAUUGUGAUGACAGCACACGCGUUGCGCCAUGUAUUUGUCAAGCCUUUAAUCAUAGACAGGAAUGAGGCAUCCAUAAAUUGGAAUAAUCACCGCAUUGCCCUGCUAGAGAAGGGUCAUGCACAAGAGUAUCAAUGGGAAAACGACCAGAGCAAAGAUGCAUCGGCAAAGGAGAAGAGUCAUAUUGGGAAGAUGUUCAAGGAAAUAGAGGUGCAGCUCGCCCUGAUGUACGACAUGCUGUACACCAAGGCAGAAGUGAUCCACACAAGGUAUGGCUACUGCAUCCGUGCCAUUUCACUUGUCUCUUGCUUCGCCGCUCUUGUGGUCUUCAGAAAAAGCAAGCGAGAUGUGUACAGCACACCCGACAUUGUGAUCACUUUUGCUCUUCUGGGCGGAGCUUGUGCACUGGAGAUGGCAUCCGUUUUCAAGGCGAUUGGGUCAACCUGGACAUGUGCCAGCUUGAGACGCCGCAGGUGGAAGUGGCUGCCCAAUGAGAUUCUGUUCGCACGGCACCACCUCCUCGUCCUUAAGGAUGGAAGGUGGUCCGAUUCCGUCGGGCAAUUUGACUUCAUAUCCUUCUGUGUUCACAGCAGAAAGAUGGACCUCAAGGUUAGAAUAGCCCGUUUGAUUGGGCUCCGAGACUUGUGGCACAAAGUUCGCUGCACCAAACAUGCCAAGCUUUCUCCUGCCGUGAAGGAGUUUGUAUGGGGCUUGCUCAGAGGUGACAAGAGUCAUAUGGUACGAAUUGAAGAAGUGGACAUCAGGAGUGGGAACUGGGCUCGCAGGUUCAGCGGCGUCGCCCAGAUCAAACAGCUAGAUUGGAGCCUGAGUUAUGGAUUUCACAAGAGCGUGCUUAUCUGGCAUAUAGCAACAAGCACCUUCCUCAAUAACCCUGCCGCCAAAUUGGAGCUGGUCGACAAGGACAUGGCUGAAGCAGUCAAUACUCUCUCUGAUUACAUGAUGUACCUCCUCAUCGAGCACCCUGACAUUCUGCCAAUGAAACCAGCUGCUAAGGACAUGUUUCAGGAAACCUGCCUCUGUUAUGGUUCGGAUAUGUAUGGCCCGGUCUAUGUAAUGAAACCAGGUGGGGACAGAGCUAAUGUGGUUGAUUUUCACAAGCAAAUUCUGAAUUACAACUCCGGGUGUCUUGAGUGGAUAAGAAGACUAGAUGCUGACUUGAUGGAAGAUGGUUGGGAUGAUUACCCGGGCCAGCAUGUGCUGGUGAAAGCAUGCACCCUGGCUCACACAAUGCUCGACAUGGACUUGGGGCUCGAACAUAAGAUGGCGAUAAUUGGAACAGUGUGGACGGAGAUGUUGUGCUACGCAGCAACCAAUGCAACCGGGGGAUUCCAUGCCAGGCAGCUGAGCAACGGUGGUGAGUUUCUGACCCACAUCCUGCUCCUCACUAAAUAUUCCUUUCUUAUAGAUAAGGAACCAAAGCCGUCCAAAACAACUGUUGAAGCUGUGGAGGCUAGUGCUGCUGGCCACAUCGUACUAAAUGUGGACAAUGAUUCCAACGAUGAGAUUACAGAAAUCCGCCCAACAUAG